AUUGAACGCUGGCGGCAGGCUUAACACAUGCAAGUCGAACGAGUGGCGGACGGGUGAGUAAUGUAUGGGAAACUGCCCGAUGGAGGGGGAUAACUACUGGAAACGGUAGCUAAUACCGCAUACUAUCGGAUGUGCCCAGAUCGGAUUAGCUAGUUGGUGGGGUAAAGGCUCACCAAGGCGACGAUCCCUAGCUGGUCUGAGAGGAUGACCAGCCACACUGGAACUGAGACACGGUCCAGACUCCUACGGGAGGCAGCAGUGGGGAAUAUUGCACAAUGGGCGCAAGCCUGAUGCAGUCAUGCCGCGUGUAUGAAGAAGGCCUUCGGGUUGUAAAGUACUUUCAGCGGGGAGGCGUUACCCGCAGAAGAAGCACCGGCUAACUCCGUGCCAGCCGCCGCGGUAAUAC
rnacentral:rRNA from 1 species